AGUCCAUGAUGUGGACUUCUCCUUUGCAUCUCCUUAAAUCUUUCUCAUGCUUCAUAAGAGGGCUCACCAUCCAUCUGCAUAAAUGUAAUAAUAUUGUUAUGCAU
rfam:Eucalyptus grandis cultivar BRASTZ1 unplaced genomic scaffold scaffold_16, whole genome shotgun sequence.